CGAAACUUCAGUGCCAUUUAGCUGUACUGUGUCUGUGCAUGUAGUGAAAUGGCUAACGCCAGGUUUUCUCAGGACCAGUUCAGCUGUCCAGUGUGUCUGGAUCUACUGAAGGAUCCAGUGACUAUUCCCUGUGGACACAGUUACUGUAAGAGCUGCAUUACAGACCACUGGAAUCAAGAAGUUCAAAAGAGAGUCUACAGCUGCCCUGAAUGCAGACAGACCUUCAAGCCAAGACCUGCUUUAAAUAAAAGCACCAUGCUGGCUGAAGUACUGGAGCAACUUAAAAAGAGUAAACUCCAAACUGAUGUUCCUGCUGGACCUGGAGAUGUGGAGUGUGAUGUGUGUACUGUGAGAAAACACAAAGCUGUCAAGUCCUGUCUGGUGUGUCUGAACUCUUUCUGCCAAAAUCACCUUGAACAACAUGAGAAUCUUUUCAAAGGAAAGAGACACGAUCUAAUAGACGCCACUGGACGACUUCAGGAGAUGAUCUGCUGUAAACAUGAAAAACUGCUGGACAUUUACUGCUGCACUGACAAGCAGUGUAUAUGCAUGGCCUGUAUGGUGGAUGAACACAAAAAUCAUGAGACUGUAUCAGCUGCAGCAGAGAGGACAGAGAAACAGAAAAACUUGGUUGAGAGACAAAGAGAAUUCCAGCAGCAAAUCAGGGAGCGAGAGAAGAAAAUUCAGGAGCUAAAAGAGGCUGUGGAGGCUCACAAGGUGAGUUUUAAGCAGAAGCAGCAGCAUGGUUUACGCUCUGCACAGACAGCAGUGGAGGACAGUGAGAUGAUCUUUACUGAACUCAUCAGCUCCAUUGAGAGAAGACGCUCUGAGGUCACACAGAUCAUCAGAGAUCGAGAAAAGACUGUAGUGAGUCAAGCUGAAGGACUUAUGAAGCGGCUAAAGCAGGAAAUUGAUCAACUAAAGAGGAGAGAUGCUGAAUUACAACAGCUUUCACAGACACAUAACCACACCCAUUUCCUUCAGUGUUUCCCAUAUCUCCCUGUUCCUCCUGGAUCUCCAGAUGUUCCCAGCAUUACUGACAGCUCUUUGGAUGUAGUAGGAAAAUCAGUCUCUCAACUGAGACAGAAAUUAGAGGAUUUCUGCAAAGAGGAGAUUGAAAAACUCUCUGGAAGAGUGACUUGCAUCCAGAUCAUUCCCACUCCAGAAUAUGUGAGCAGGAAAGACUUCCUACAGUAUUUCUUUGAGUUCACUCUGGAUCGAAACACAGCGCAUCAACGCCUCUAUUUGUCUGAGGGGAACAGAGAGGCAGCUUACACUACUAUACUCCAGAAGUAUAGUAAUCAUCCAGACAGAUUUAGUUAUUGGUGGCAGGUGUUGUGUAGAGAGAGUGUACGUGGACGCUGCUACUGGGAGGUUGAAUGGAGUGGGAUUGGAAAUGUUGAUGUGUGUAUAUCAGUGUCAUAUAAGAGCAUUAACAGGAAGGGGUGGGGUUAUAAGUGCAAAUUUGGAAGUAAUGAUCAGUCCUGGUGUUUAAUCUGCUCUCCUUCCAGUUACACAUUCUGUCAAAAUAACCAGCAGACUAAACUCUCUGUAGUGUCCAGCUCCCGUAAAAUAGGAGUGUAUGUGGAUUACAAUAUUGGAAUUCUGUCCUUCUACAGCAUCUCUGACACAAUGUCAAUGAACCUCAUCCACAGAGUCCAGACCACAUUCACUCAGCCUCUCUGUCCUGGGUUUUGGAUUAAUUUAUCAUAUUUUAAUAGAUUAUUUGGAUUAUCUGAAUACCCAACGGUGAAACUGUGUGACAAAAUAUAGGUUGUCCAUCUGAUCUGAUACUGAAUUGCCUGAAAUAGUCAGUGGGAUUUGACAGAAAUUCUGCUUCAUAGUAACAAUACACACUCUUUAAUGUAACAGAUUUGAUUAAAUGAAGAAAAGACGAGAGCAAACAUUUUCAGUAGGGCUCUACCAUUCAGAGUGUACAUGCACACACAUUCAAGUUAGAUGUACUGUAAAUAUUUCAUGCUUUUCAUGUUUAUUACAUUUCACAUAUUAUGUAAGUUCUUUUACAUUAGUUUUGUUCCUUUAGUAUAUAGGCAAGGCAAGUUUAUUUAAAUAGCACAUUUCAUACACCAUGGUAAUUUUUAAUUUUAAUUAGAACAGUUAAGAAUAAAAAAUGAGGAUACAUAAAAUACAGUGCAAUCAUUCGGACAUAGCACAGUGCUCAUUCAGUAAAUGCAUAGCUAAACAUGUAUUUUGAGUCUGGAUUUAAAUGUGGCUGCUCUUUUAGCACAUCUGAUCUCUUCUGGAAGCUGAUUCCAACUGCGGGUGGCAUAAUAGCUAAAACGGACUCCCCUUGUGUUGAGUGACUCCUUGGUAUUUCUGACUUGAUCCUAAUGAUCAAAGUGGUCUGUUUAUAUUCAGUGAGCAUAUCUGCAAUGUAUUGAAGUCCUAGGCCACUGAGUGAUUUAUAAACAAGUAAUAGUACUUUAAAAUCAAUCCUAAAUGUAACUGAAAGCCGGUGUAAGAACCAGCUGUCUAAUCAUCUUUUUUGGGAAGGCCAGUGAGGAGUCUAUUACAAUUGUCAACCGUGGUGAUAAAGGCAUGAAUGAGUUUCUCCAAGCCUUGACUGGAAACAAAAAAUCGAAUUCUUGCGAUGUUUUUGAGAUGAUAAUAAGCUGAUUUAGUUUUUGCUUUGACAUGACCACUGAAAUUAAGGUCUGACUCCAGAGUCACACAGAUUCUUGACUUGAUUCUUGAUUUUUAGAUGUUUGACGCUUAGAGUCAAGGUAUGCAUGCACCUUGAGAACUUCAUCUUUGUUAGUCUCUCAACAGUAAGUGUUGUUCAAGUUGCUUUUUAAGGUAUGAGAAGAAGGUCUGUCUAGCUCAGGGGUGUCAAACUCCGGUCCUGGAGGGCCGCAGCCCUACAGAGUUUAGAUGCAACCCUAAACACACCUGAUCCAACAAAUCAAGUCCUUCAGGCUUAAUUGAAAACUGCAUAGUAUGUGUGUUGGAGCAAGGUUGGAACAAAACUCUGCAGGGCUGCGGCCCUCCAUGAGUUUGAUACCCCUGGUCUAGAUGACCUAGUUGAAAGCAUGAAGUUUUCAGACAAGUUGUAGUGAGUUGCAAGUUUCGUCUACCGCCACAUGCACUUAGCUUCCUCAAGGUGCUUUUUGUCUGCCAGUCUUCUUCCUGACUUUUACAGGAACAAAGUCUUCAAUAACAUUCAUAACUUUUGAGUUAAAGGAACCAAGCAGAAGAGUCUGGUGAUAUAAAAAUAUAGCCUUCAUAAACAGCACACUAUUGUUUUCAUUAAAGGGGAAAAGUCCUUAUCCAAAACAAAGACUUAGAUAUAAUGUACUCACCCCCUUGUCAGAAAAAUGCAGAACUAUUUUCCUCAAAAAACAUAAUUUCUUUACGACUGAAGAAAGAAAGACAUGAACAUCUUGAAUGACAAGGGGGUGAGUACAUUAUAUGUGAAUCUUUGUUUUGGAAGUGGACUUCUUUAAUGCAUCUCAUACUGACGACACAGAUCUAGAUUCAGCUUACUGAUGAGUAAAUCUAGAGUGUGUCCAGGAUUGUGUGUGUGUCCAUGCACAUGCUGAAGCAGAUCAAAAGUGUUUAAAACUGCUGUAAUUUCUUUUGCAGUAUUGAUUUCUGCAAAUAUGAACAGGAGACUCUUGUUUUCUGGAAAGUCUUUAUGCAUGUUUAAAUUA